rnacentral:rRNA from 1 species
CUGUGCAAAGGUAGCAUAAUCAUUAGUUUUUUAAUUGAAGGCUUGUAUGAAGGGUUGGACAAAGAAUAAUCUGUUUUUAUUUUUAUUUUUGAAUUUAACCUUUAAGUGAAAAGGCUUAAAUAAAUUUAAGGGACGAUAAGACCCUAUAAAUCUUUAUAUUAAAUUAUUUUUAGUUAAUUAAUAUUGUAAAUAAAAUGAUAAGAUAAAAUAUAUUGUGUUGGGGUGAUGAGAAUAUAAUAAAUAACUGUUCUAAAAUAAAAACAAAGUUAUUUGAAUUAAAUAAUAGAUCCUUUAUUAAGAUUAAAAGUUUAAGUUACUUUAGGGAUAACAGCGUUAUUUUUUUUGAGAGUUCUUAUCGAAAAAGAAGUUUGCGACCUCGAUGUUGAAUUAAAAUUUCUUUGUGGUGUAGUUGUUACAAAAGUGAGUCUGUUCGACUUUUAAAUUUUU